rnacentral:lncRNA from 1 species
AAAGUCCACAACUUCAUGUAAUUUCAACUAGAACCAAAAUUUUAUUAAUGUAAAAAACAUCAUUAAAGGAUCAAAACAAUUUGUCCUUUAGAGUUUUUAAGCCUAAACGUAAAAACGUAAACUUUUGGGCCAAAAUGCAAAAACACAAAAGUAUCAAAACUUUAUGUAAUUGCACAAAAGGCCCCAAAAGGACCUCCACUAGGGGUGGCCGGCCAUUUUGGGAAGAUAUGAAAAAAAAAUCUAAAAAAUUUUUGCAAGUUGAUUUUAUUAGGUGAGGUUAAAGGUGAAGGUGAUGGUUUGUAAGAAAAACUUAAAGUCUAUGACAAAACAUUAAAACAUUUCAUCACAUCUCACCAAUAACAUCACCCAUCAAAUAAUAAAUCAAUUAUAUACCAAAACUUUAUGAAAAACAUAAAAUUUUUGAAUCAAAACUUCAAACCUUUUUGUUCUUGGCAAGAACUUCAAGAACAUUUGAAGAACACCAUAAAACUCAUAAUAGGCCCCAUGGAAUGUUUUUCAUUCACCAAAACUCAAUUUUCACCUCUCAAAAAGAGGGCUAUAUCCUAGGGUACUUAGGGGUUCCAAAAGUCACCUUAAAACUUUUAACAAGACAAACAUGAACCCAAAAAGUCACCCUAAGGAUCUUGGCCGAAUUUCCCAAAACUCAUGGCACCAAAUUUUAGUUCCAAUAUUCAUGCUUAUAUGAAAUACAUCUACAACAUUUGAGAUGCUAAAUUUUCUAGCAAAAUUUAUAUAUUCAAAAGCAAGAACAAAGCUUGUAACAUUUACAACAUUUAAAUCACAAAAUAUGAACAUCACAAAACCCAAAAGGAUUCAUCAUACACUAGGCCUAGGCUCUGAUACCAAUUGAAGGAAAAAUUUUGUCCUAGCUAAGAACAAGUAUGAACAUUUGAAUACAUAUGCAAGCUAUCAACACUUUAAAGUAGGCAUUCAUUAAAAAACAAUUCAUAAAACCCAUGACUUUCAAAGCCUAGUAUAUGGUGAACCAAAAAGAACUCUUUAACAACAUUAAAGAGAAGUAAAGAUUUAGUGAUUCUUUACCCUUGAAGCUCAUCCUUGAUUACACAAGGGAUUCACCCAAGUGGAGGGCCUUCAAGUCACCUCCAAUCUCUUUGAAUCUUCCUUGUGUUUUCCUCCCUUUUAGUGCUCCUUUGAUGAUUUGAGGAAAAAGGAUUUGUUCUCCAAAAACAUCAAAAGCUUGAUGUCUCUAAGUCUCUUCACCAAAGAUGUAUAUUGUGAAGAU